UACAGAGGUCUCAAGCGUUGUUCGGAUUCAUUGGGCGUAAAGGGUGCGUAGGCGGCGCGGUAAGUCGGGUGUGAAAUCUCGGAGCUUAACUCCGAAACUGCAUUCGAUACUGCGGUGCUUGAGGACUGGAGAGGAGACUGGAAUUCAUGGUGUAGCAGUGAAAUGCGUAGAGAUCAUGAGGAAGACCAGUGGCGAAGGCGGGUCUCUGGACAGUUCCUGACACUGAGACACGAAGGCCAGGGGAGCGAACAGG
rnacentral:rRNA from 1 species